CACUUUAUGUGAGUAAGAUCCCUGGAAGAUGACCAGGUAGAUAGGUCAGAGGUGGAAGCAUGGCGACAUGUGGAGCUGACUGAUACUAAUCGAUCGAGGACUUAACCACAA
rnacentral:rRNA from 1 species